rnacentral:lncRNA from 1 species
UUCCAUGCUUGGCAUAAUGAGAAUACACCUUAUCUGCUUCAGGCAAUGGUGUAAACCCAGUGGGUCGAUUUUCGUGAUUUCUCAUGAGCAGGUCAUUGUUUCGCUCAGCCACAAGGAGAAGAGAAAUCAGUUCAGAGUACUUUUGAAACAUUUCUCUCUGUACUGUUGUUGCAGUACCACAUUGGAGGCAUGAAACGUUGUAAAUGUUUUUUCAAGCAUAUCAUAAUUAGAGAUAUUAUCUCCACAGAGUUUCAAUUUAGAAGUUAUUCUGAACAUUGCAGAAUUAUAUUCAGAAACAGACUUAAAGUUUUGGAGCCUCAUAUGAGCCCAAUCAUAUCGUGCUUGUGGCAGAGUGACCAACUUCAGGUUGUCAUAUCUCUCCUUUAAGCCGUU